UACGAAGGGGGCUAGCGUUGCUCGGAAUUACUGGGCGUAAAGGGCGCGUAGGCGGACAGUUAAGUCAGAGGUGAAAGCCCAGGGCUCAACCCUGGAAUUGCCUUUGAUACUGGCUGUCUUGAGUACGGGAGAGGUGUGUGGAACUCCGAGUGUAGAGGUGAAAUUCGUAGAUAUUCGGAAGAACACCAGUGGCGAAGGCGACACACUGGCCCGUUACUGACGCUGAGGAGCGAAAGCGUGGGGAGCGAACAGG
rnacentral:rRNA from 1 species